rnacentral:misc_RNA from 1 species
AAGUCGUAACAAGGUCUCCGUUGGUGAACCAGCGGAGGGAUCAUUAAAGAGUUUGUUACAACUCCUAAACCCAUGUGAACUUACCUUCUGUUGCCUCGGCAGGCAGGUCGCAUCUUGCUACCCUGUAGGACCCUAUCCUAUAAGACCUUACCCUGUAAGGUCCUACCCGGAGAGACCUACCCGGUAGAGAGAUGCGGUGCCACCUGCCGGUGGACUGAAAAAUCAAUUCUAUUUAGUAAAUGGUAUUCUGAAUCAUUAUAUGGAAAUUAAGUUAAAACUUUCAACAACGGAUCUCUUGGUUCUG